rnacentral:rRNA from 1 species
GUGGGGAAUAUUGGACAAUGGGCGAAAGCCUGAUCCAGCCAUGCCGCGUGAGUGAUGAAGGCCUUAGGGUUGUAAAGCUCUUUCAGUAGGGAAGAUAAUGACGGUACCUACAGAAGAAGCCCCGGCUAACUUCGUGCCAGCAGCCGCGGUAAUACGAAGGGGGCUAGCGUUGUUCGGAUUUACUGGGCGUAAAGCGCACGUAGGCGGAUUGGUCAGUUAGAGGUGAAAUCCUGGAGCUAAACUCCAGAACUGCCUUUAAUACUGCCAGUCUAGAGUCCAGAAGAGGUGAGUGGAACUCCUAGUGUAGAGGUGGAAUUCGUAGAUAUUAGGAAGAACACCAGUGGCGAAGGCGGCUCACUGGUCUGGUACUGACGCUGAGGUGCGAAAGCGUGGGGAGCAAACAGGAUUAGAUACCCUAGUAGUCC